rnacentral:rRNA from 1 species
UAGAGUUUGAUCCUGGCUCAGGAUGAACGCUAGCGACAGGCUUAACACAUGCACGUCGAGGGGCAGCGGGGAGGUAGCAAUACUUCCGCCGGCGACCGGCGCACGGGUGAGUAACACGUAUGGAACCUGCCCGUAGCAGGGGGAUAAACGGAAGAAAUUCCGUCUAAUACCGCGUAAUAACUCCGAGAGGCAUCUCAUGGAGUUUAAAGGGUAACACCGGCUACGGAUGGCCAUGCGGCGCAUUAGCUAGUUGGCGGGGUAACGGCCCACCAAGGCGACGAUGCGUAGGGGUUCUGAGAGGAAGGUCCCCCACACUGGUACUGAGACACGGACCAGACUCCUACGGGAGGCAGCAGUGAGGAAUAUUGGUCAAUGGGCGCGAGCCUGAACCAGCCAAGUCGCGUGAGGGAAGACGGUCCUAUGGAUUGUAAACCUCUUUUGUCGGGGAGCAAAAGACGCCACGUGUGGCGUUCCGAGAGUACCCGAAGAAAAAGCAUCGGCUAACUCCGUGCCAGCAGCCGCGGUAAUACGGAGGAUGCGAGCGUUAUCCGGAUUUAUUGGGUUUAAAGGGUGCGCAGGCGGAAGAUCAAGUCAGCGGUAAAAUUGAGAGGCUCAACCUCUUCGAGCCGUUGAAACUGGUUUUCUUGAGUGAGCGAGAAGUAUGCGGAAUGCGUGGUGUAGCGGUGAAAUGCAUAGAUAUCACGCAGAACUCCGAUUGCGAAGGCAGCAUACCGGCGCUCAACUGACGCUCAUGCACGAAAGUGUGGGUAUCGAACAGGAUUAGAUACCCUGGUAGUCCACACAGUAAACGAUGAAUACUAAUUGUUCGGGGAGAAUGAUCCCUGAGUGAUACAGCGAAAGCGUUAAGUAUUCCACCUGGGGAGUACGCCGGCAACGGUGAAACUCAAAGGAAUUGACGGGGGCCCGCACAAGCGGAGGAACAUGUGGUUUAAUUCGAUGAUACGCGAGGAACCUUACCCGGGCUCAAACGACACAGGAAUACUUUUGAAAGGAGGUAGCUCUACGGAGUCUGUGUCGAGGUGCUGCAUGGUUGUCGUCAGCUCGUGCCGUGAGGUGUCGGCUUAAGUGCCAUAACGAGCGCAACCCCCAUCGCCAGUUACCAGCAAGUCAAGUUGGGGACUCUGGCGAGACUGCCGGCGCAAGCUGUGAGGAAGGCGGGGAUGACGUCAAAUCAGCACGGCCCUUACGUCCGGGGCGACACACGUGUUACAAUGGCAGGUACAGAGAGAAGCAAUGCGGCGACGCAAAGCGGAACUUGAAAGCCUGUCUCAGUUCGGAUUGGAGUCUGCAACUCGACUCCAUGAAGCUGGAUUCGCUAGUAAUCGCGCAUCAGCCAUGGCGCGGUGAAUACGUUCCCGGGCCUUGUACACACCGCCCGUCAAGCCAUGGAAGCCGGGAGUGCCUGAAGUGUGCAACCGCAAGGAGCGCCCUAAGGUAAAACUGGUGACUGGGGCUAAGUCGUAAUCAAGGUAACCGUAA